rfam:Glycine max cultivar Williams 82 chromosome 8, whole genome shotgun sequence.
UUUUGAUUGGACGAUGACUACCACAUGUCAUGUUCUGAUUGGAUGUCGACUCUGUGGAUGAUGAAAUGCAUUGUUGUUGUUAUUGGCCAAUUAGCACAAGACACGUGACAGUCAUGGUGC